AUGUCUCCGCCAAUUCCAUCGCCACCACCACCGCUGCCCGCCAACUCCACCACCGCCGCCUCUGCGCCGGGCGUCACGGCCUCGCUCUCGGCGGGCACCACUGCGUCGCUCUCAGCGCCGGUCCUAACGGCACCCGGCACCACGCCGGGCCAAGGGCAGCCACAGGCCCCCGUCCAACACUCGUCGCCGCCAUCACCUCCCUCGCAGCCGCAACAGUUCACGCCGGAGGCCAUGGCGGGCGUCCUCAACGACCUCGUCACCGCGGUUCAAGGGAUCCGCCUCUACCUGGCAGGUCCGUACGGGCCGCCCCCACCACUCCAUCCAGCCAUGGCCGCGGGUCAGCAGGCGCUUCCGUGGUACUCGGCAUCGGGGGCCAUCACCGGACUCCAUCCAGCCAUGGCCGCGGGGUCAGCAGGCGCUUCCGUGGUACACGGCACCGGGGGCCGUCACCGGAGGCUACCCGGCGCUCCCCGCCCCAGCGGCCGCACGGCCGCCUUGGGCGCAGUGGCCGCCGCAGAUCGCGCCGGCAGCCCCGCCACUUCUCGCCACCACGGGGCCGCAGUGGCCCACCUGGACCGUGCCGGCCGCGCCGUCCUCCGUCGCGCCCUACCUUCCAGCGGCCUCGGAGCAGGGUCCUCCACCGGCCCCGCCCAGCCCUAA
rnacentral:rRNA from 1 species